ensembl:snRNA U6 U6 spliceosomal RNA
GUGCUUGCUUCAGCAGCACAUACACUAAAAUUGGAACGAUACAGAUUAGCAUGGCCGCUACACAAGAAUGAUAUGCAAAUUCCUGAAGCAUUCCAUAUUUUU